rnacentral:rRNA from 1 species
AACGUUAUCCGGAGUUACUGGGCGUAAAGGGCGUGUAGGUGGUUUCGUAAGUCUGGCGUGAAAUUUCUCGGCUUAACCGAGGCAGGUCGUCGGAUACUGCGGAACUUGAGGACGGUAGAGGCGUGUGGAAUUCCGGGUGUAGUGGUGAAAUGCGUAGAGAUCCGGAGGAACACCAGUGGCGAAGGCGACACGCUGGGCCGUACCUGACACUGAUGCGCGACAGCAUGGGGAGCAAACAGG